rnacentral:rRNA from 1 species
UACGUAGGGUGCGAGCGUUCAUCGGAAUUACUGGGCGUAAAGCGUGCGCAGGCGGUUUUGUAAGUCAGAUGUGAAAUCCCCGGGCUUAACCUGGGAACUGCGUUUGAAACUACAAGGCUAGAGUGUGGCAGAGGGGGGUGGAAUUCCACGUGUAGCAGUGAAAUGCGUAGAGAUGUGGAGGAACACCGAUGGCGAAGGCAGCCCCCUGGGUUAACACUGACGCUCAGGCACGGAAGCGUGGGGAGCAAACAGG